rnacentral:rRNA from 1 species
UACGUAGGAGGCGAGCGUUGUCCGGAAUUACUGGGCGUAAAGAGCGCGUAGGCGGCGCGGUACGACCGCUGUGAAAGCCCCCAGCUCAACUGGGGAGGGUCAGCGGUAACGGCCGUGCUAUGAGUGCAGGAGAGGGAAGUGGAACUCCGGGAGUAGCGGUGAAAUGCGUAGAGACCCGGAGGAACACCAGUGGCGAAGGCGGCUUCCUGGUCUGCGACUGACGCUGUGGCGCGAAAGCCAGGGGAGCAAACGGG